GGAGUUUGGACCGUGUCUCAGUUCCAAUGUGGGGGACCUUCCUCUCAGAACCCCUACUGAUCGCAGGCUUGGUGGGCCGUUACCCCGCCAACAACCUAAUCAGACGCAUCCCCAUCCUAUAGCGGUAAACCUUUGGUAUUCAUCUGAUGUCAUCAAAAUACAACAUAGGGUAUUAAUCCGCAUUUCUACGGGCUAUCCCCUACUAUAGGGAAGGUUGGAUACGCGUUACUCACCCGUGCGCCGGUCGCCAUCAAAGUUUGCAAGCAAACUUCAUGCUGCCCCUCGACUUGCAUGUGUUAAGCCUGUAGCUAGCGUUCAUC
rnacentral:rRNA from 1 species